rnacentral:rRNA from 1 species
UACAGAGGUCUCAAGCGUUGUUCGGAUUCAUUGGGCGUAAAGGGUGCGUAGGCGGCGCGGUAAGUCGGGUGUGAAAUCUCGGAGCUUAACUCCGAAACUGCAUUCGAUACUGCCGUGCUUGAGGACUGGAGAGGAGACUGGAAUUUACGGUGUAGCGGUGAAAUGCGUAGAUAUCGGAAGGAACACCAGUGGCGAAGGCGGCUUCCUGGACUAAUACUGACGCUGAGGUGCGAAAGCGUGGGGAGCAAACAGG